UACAGAGGGGGCAAGCGUUAUUCGGAAUUAUUGGGCGUAAAGGGCGCGUAGGCGGUCGUGACAAGUCACUUGUGAAAUCUCCGGGCUUAACUCGGAACGGUCAAGUGAUACUGUCGGACUAGAGUACAGAAGGGGCAACUGGAAUUCUCGGUGUAGCGGUGAAAUGCGUAGAUAUCGAGAGGAACACCUGCGGCGAAGGCGGGUUGCUGGGCUGAUACUGACGCUGAGGCGCGAAAGCCAGGGGAGCGAACGGG
rnacentral:rRNA from 1 species